CCUACGGGUGACAGCAGUGAGGAAUAUUGGUCAAUGGCCGGAAGGCUGAACCAGCCAAGCCGCGUGAAGGACGAAGGUGCCAAGCAUUGUAAACUUCUUUUGUCAAGGGACAAAAUCAGGCUCGAGAGCCUGACCGAGGGUACUUGAAGAAAAAGCAUCGGCUAACUCCGUGCCAGCAGCCGCGGUAAUACGGAGGAUGCGAGCGUUAUCCGGAUUUAUGGGGUUUAAAGGGUGCGUAGGCGGGCUGUUAAGUCAGCGGUAAAAGCCCGGGGUUAAACCCCGGCGAGCCGUUGAAGCUGGCUGUCUUGAGAUGUCGAACGGUAUGCGGAAUGCGCAGUGUAGCGGUGAAAUGCUUAGAUAUUGCGCAGAACUCCGAUUGCGAAGGCAGCAUACCGGCGGCGAUCUGACGCUGAGGCACGAAAGCGUGGGUAUCGAACAGGAUUAGAUACCCUAGUAGUC
rnacentral:rRNA from 1 species